UGGGGAAUAUUGCACAAUGGGCGCAAGCCUGAUGCAGCCAUGCCGCGUGUGUGAAGAAGGCCUUCGGGUUGUAAAGCACUUUCAGCGAGGAGGAAGGUGGUGAGCUUAAUACGCUCAUCAAUUGACGUUACUCGCAGAAGAAGCACCGGCUAACUCCGUGCCAGCAGCCGCGGUAAUACGGAGGGUGCAAGCGUUAAUCGGAAUUACUGGGCGUAAAGCGCACGCAGGCGGUUUGUUAAGUCAGAUGUGAAAUCCCCGGGCUCAACCUGGGAACUGCAUUUGAAACUGGCAAGCUAGAGUCUCGUAGAGGGGGGUAGAAUUCCAGGUGUAGCGGUGAAAUGCGUAGAGAUCUGGAGGAAUACCGGUGGCGAAGGCGGCCCCCUGGACGAAGACUGACGCUCAGGUGCGAAAGCGUGGGGCAGCAAACAGGAUUAGAUACCCUGGUAGUCCACGCUGUAAACGAUGUCGAUUUUGGAGGUUGUGCCCUUGAGGCGUGGCUUCCGGAGCUAACGCGUUAAAUCGACCGCCUGGGGAGUACGGCCGCAAGGUUAAAACUCAAAUGAAUU
rnacentral:rRNA from 1 species